AGCUCCAAUAGCGUAUAUUAAAGUUGCUGCAGUUAAAAAGCUCGUAGUUGGAUCUCGGGUGCAGGCUUGCGGUCCGUCUCGCGGCGGUCACUGCUCGUCCUGGCCUCCUCGCCGGCGUACCGUCCCUUGGUGCUCUUGACUGAGUGUCUCGGGCGGCCGGAACGUUUACUUUGAAGAAAUUAGAGUGCUCAAAGCAGGCCUUGGCCGCCUGCAUAAUGGUGCAUGGAAUAAUGGAAUAGGACCUCGGUUCUAUUUUGUUGGUUUUCGGAGCUCGAGGUAAUGAUUAAUAGGGACUGACGGGGGCAUUCGUAUUGCGGCGCUAGAGGUGAAAUUCUUAGACCGUCGCAAGACGAACUACAGCGAAAGCAUUUGCCAAGCAUGUUUUCAUUAAUCAAGAACG
rnacentral:rRNA from 1 species